AUGACCACAUCACAUUGAAACACUCGUUCCCAUACGAACACCGAGGUUAAGCAACGUCGAGCCUAGCCAGUACCUAGAUGGGUAAACCUUUAGCAAUACCACGUGCUGGAA